rnacentral:misc_RNA from 1 species
AAGUCGUAACAAGGUUUCCGUAGGUGAACCUGCGGAAGGAUCAUUAAUGCUACUUUCCACUUGAGGAAUUGCCUGGUUUGGAAUUUUUCGAGCCGAAUUCCACAAGCGUGAACGUGUAUCUAUUAUCUUAAACGCUUAAGGAACUUUUUAUUAAGUUCCCUAACGUACCAAGUAACUUUUGAGGGAAGCCUUUGCUGUUUUUUCGGAGAUAGCAAAGUGUUUUUCUCAUAUAAUUUUUUAUACCAUAAUUACCCUAUUAACUUAUAAACUAUUAGACUGAUAUAAAAUAACAUUUAUUUUAUAAAUGUAUGAUACAACUCUUAGCAAUGGAUAUCUAGGCUCUU